AGCGAUGUCCCUUGCACGCGGGACCACAGGAUCAAUAAGGCUGACUAUGGUAUAAGUCCGAUUUGACAACCCAGCACUUUUGGGCAAGAAGACCCUAUGAAUUUUAAAAUAAUUAAUUUCUUAUAAGAAAUUAAUUAUUUUUAGUUGGGGCAACUAGAAAAUAUUAUAAACUUUUUAUAUAAUAAAAUGACCCAUUAUUAAUGAUUAUUUGAGAAAAAUACUCUAGGGAUAACAGCGUAAUAAUUUUUGAUAGAACCUAUAGACAAAAUAGUUUGCGACCUCGAUGUUGGAUUAGGAUACUUUUUUAAUGAAGAUGUUAAAAAAAGAAGUUUGUUCAACUUUUAAAGUCCUACUUGAUCUGAGUUCAGACCGGAGGGACCUGGCAGCCAACGUUUCACUUUUUUAUGCUACCGGCCCUUUUGGACCACCCAAAACGCCAUGUCUCGGGACCGGAUAACGGUCCUCUAUAUACGUCCCCACAUAUGGGUGG
rnacentral:rRNA from 1 species